UGCAAGUCGAACGAACUCUGGUAUUGAUUGGUGCUUGCAUCAUGAUUUACAUUUGAGUGAGUGGCGAACUGGUGAGUAACACGUGGGAAACCUGCCCAGAAGCGGGGGAUAACACCUGGAAACAGAUGCUAAUACCGCAUAACAACUUGGACCGCAUGGUCCGAGCUUGAAAGAUGGCUUCGGCUAUCACUUUUGGAUGGUCCCGCGGCGUAUUAGCUAGAUGGUGGGGUAACGGCUCACCAUGGCAAUGAUACGUAGCCGACCUGAGAGGGUAAUCGGCCACAUUGGGACUGAGACACGGCCCAAACUCCUACGGGAGGCAGCAGUAGGGAAUCUUCCACAAUGGACGAAAGUCUGAUGGAGCAACGCCGCGUGAGUGAAGAAGGGUUUCGGCUCGUAAAACUCUGUUGUUAAAGAAGAACAUAUCUGAGAGUAACUGUUCAGGUAUUGACGGUAUUUAACCAGAAAGCCACGGCUAACUACGUGCCAGCAGCCGCGGUAAUACGUAGGUGGCAAGCGUUGUCCGGAUUUAUUGGGCGUAAAGCGAGCGCAGGCGGUUUUUUAAGUCUGAUGUGAAAGCCUUCGGCUCAACCGAAGAAGUGCAUCGGAAACUGGGAAACUUGAGUGCAGAAGAGGACAGUGGAACUCCAUGUGUAGCGGUGAAAUGCGUAGAUAUAUGGAAGAUCACCAGUGGCGAAAGCGGCUGUCUGGUCUGUAACUGACGCUGAGGCUCGAAAGUAUGGGUAGCAAACAGGAUUAGAUACCCUGGUAGUCCAUACCGUA
rnacentral:rRNA from 2 species